rnacentral:rRNA from 1 species
AGCGAACGCUGGCGGCAGGCCUAACACAUGCAAGUCGAACGGACCCUUCGGGGUUAGUGGCGGACGGGUGAGUAACACGUGGGAACGUGCCUUUAGGUUCGGAAUAGCUCCUGGAAACGGGUGGUAAUGCCGAAUGUGCCCUUCGGGGGAAAGAUUUAUCGCCUUUAGAGCGGCCCGCGUCUGAUUAGCUAGUUGGUGGUGUAACGGACCGCCAAGGCGACGAUCAGUAGCUGGUCUGAGAGGAUGAUCAGCCACAUUGGGACUGAGACACGGCCCAAACUCCUACGGGAGGCAGCAGUGGGGAAUCUUGCGCAAUGGGCGAAAGCCUGACGCAGCCAUGCCGCGUGAAUGAUGAAGGUCUUAGGAUUGUAAAAUUCUUUCACCGGGGACGAUAAUGACGGUACCCGGAGAAGAAGCCCCGGCUAACUUCGUGCCAGCCGCCGCCGUAAAAC